UCUCUCUGGCGAUUCGAGAGAUCUGGAUCUAGGGUUUUUCCCCAGACGAUUCAAGAUCUAGCCUCUCAUUUACACCAGAUCGAUAAACAAAUCUCACUGUAUUCUCCAUUCAGAUCUCAAUCUCAUCUCACACCUGCUCUCUCUCUCUCUCUCUCUCUCUCCUUAAACCUUGGUGAUACGGCUGCUACUCAGAAGGAUCUUAUAUCUGUUACUAGCGUCAAUGUGUGGUGGUGGUUCUGCGACUCGGCAAUGAGAACGGAUGAAGACACGAGCCAAUGAGGUUACACGACUAAGGAAUAUGACAACCAAAACUUUGCAGAUCUGAGUUUUUAGAGGAAUAUUAACAGCCCAGAUCUGUGUUCCGGUGGUUUCUGCAGAAGUCACACGUAACAAGCAAUCUGGUCAAUCUGAGGGUUAUGGUUACAUUGAGUUUGUUAACCGAGCAGCUGCAGAAAGGCAUCUACAAGCAUAUAAUAGUACUUUGAUGCCCAAUGUUGAGCAGCUCUUUAGGUUGAACUGGGCUUCCUUUGGUGUUGGUGAAAGAA